rnacentral:ncRNA from 1 species
ACUAAUGUGAUGAUGAAGAAGAGUACAUGAUGAGAAGCUCUCAGAGAGCCUGUGGCAGGUGAAAACAGGCAGUGGAUCAUGAUGGAAUGGGCUUUGGAGCAUUCUGACCGAACCUUUUAGUAGGCUCAGACGUGUAUAUGUCCGCACGAUAUAAAUGGACAGCGUAUCGGUAUUUCCUGUACGUAUUCGAGUGAUUUUCAUAUUACGUGAGAAUUAUAAGGGUGGCACCGCGGUCCAUUCGUCCCUUGC